rnacentral:tRNA from 1 species
GCGGGAAUAGCUCAGUUGGUAGAGCGCAACCUUGCCAAGGUUGAUGUCGCGAGUUCGAGUCUCGUUUCCCGCUCGA